rnacentral:rRNA from 1 species
GACGAACGCUGGCGGCGUGCUUAACACAUGCAAGUCGAACGGUGACCCCUCUUCGGAGGGUGAUCAGUGGCGAACGGGUGAGUAACACGUGAGCAACCUGCCCCUGGCUCUGGGACAACCACUGGAAACGGUGGCUAAUACCGGAUACGACCCGCCAUCGCAUGGUGUGUGGGUGGAAAGUUUUUCGGCUGGGGAUGGGCUCGCGGCCUAUCAGCUUGUUGGUGGGGUGAUGGCCUACCAAGGCGACGACGGGUAGCCGGCCUGAGAGGGCGACCGGCCACACUGGGACUGAGACACGGCCCAGACUCCUACGGGAGGCAGCAGUGGGGAAUAUUGCACAAUGGGCGAAAGCCUGAUGCAGCGACGCCGCGUGAGGGAUGACGGCCUUCGGGUUGUAAACCUCUUUCGGUAGGGACGAAGCGCAAGUGACGGUACCUACUAAAGAAGCACCGGCCAACUACGUGCCAGCCGCCGCGGUAACAC